GAUGAACGCUGGCGGCGUGCCUAAUACAUGCAAGUCGAGCGAAGAGACGAGGAGCUUGCUCCUCUGACGUUAGCGGCGGACGGGGGAGUAACACGUGGAGAACCUACCUAUAAGAAUGGGAUAACUUCGGGAAACCGGAGCUAAUACCGGAUAAUAUAUUGAACCGCAUGGUUCAAUAGUGAAAGACGGUUUUGCUGUCACUGAUAGAUGGAUCCGCGCCGCAUUAGCUAGUUGGUAAGGUAACGGCUUACCAAGGCAACGAUGCGUAGCCGACCUGAGAGGGUGAUCGGCCACACUGGAACUGAGCCACGGUCCAGACUCCUACGGGAGGCAGCAGUAGGGAAUCUUCCGCAAUGGGCGAAAGCCUGACGGAGCACCGCCGCGUGAGUCAUGCAGGUCUUCGCCUCGUAGAACUCUGUUAUUAGGGACGAACAACUGUGUAAGUAACUAUGCACGUCUUGACGGUACCUAAUCAGAAAGCCACGGCUAACUCCGUG
rnacentral:rRNA from 1 species